rnacentral:misc_RNA from 1 species
AACUGAUACUACCUGCGGGAACCUGCGGAAGGAUCAUUACCGAGUUAUCCAACUCCCAACCCCUGUGAAUUAUACCUUUAAUUGUUGCUUCGGCGGGACUUCGCGCCCGCCGGGGACCCAAACCUUCUGAAUUUUUAAUAAGUAUCUUCUGAGUGGUUAAAAAAAUGAAUCAAAACUUUUAGCAAUGGAUCUCU